GAAAUGCGAUAACUAAUGUGAAUUGCAGAAUUCAGUGAAUCAUCGAGUCUUUGAACGCACAUUGCGCCCCCUGGUAUUCCGGGGGGCAUGCCUGUCCGAGCGUCAUUGCUGCCCUCAAGCCCGGCUUGUGUGUUGGGCCCUCGUCCCCCGGCUCCCGGGGGACGGGCCCGAAAGGCAGCGGCGGCACCGCGUCCGGUCCUCGAGCGUAUGGGGCUUCGUCUUCCGCUCCGUAGGCCCGGCCGGCGCCCGCCGACGCAUUUAUUUGCAACUUGUUUUUUUCCAGGUUGACCUCGGAUCAGGUAGGGAUACCCGCUGAGCUUAAGC
rnacentral:misc_RNA from 1 species